rnacentral:tRNA from 1 species
GCACCAUUAGCUCAGUUGGUAGAGCAGCUGACUCUUAAUCAGCGGGUCCCAGGUUCGAGUCCUGGAUGGUGUA